AGAGUGAACGCUGGCGGUAGGCCUAACACAUGCAAGUCGAACGGCAGCACAGUGGUAGCAAUACCAUGGGUGGCGAGUGGCGGACGGGUGAGGAAUACAUCGGAAUCUACCUUUUCGUGGGGGAUAACGUAGGGAAACUUACGCUAAUACCGCAUACGCCCUUCGGGGGAAAGCCGGGGAUCGCAAGACCUGGCGCGGAUAGAUGAGCCGAUGUCGGAUUAGCUAGUUGGUGAGGUAAUGGCUCACCAAGGCGACGAUCCGUAGCUGGUCUGAGAGGAUGAUCAGCCACACUGGAACUGAGACACGGUCCAAGACUCCUACGGGAGCAGCAGG
rnacentral:rRNA from 1 species